GAGAAUAAUGCCGGUGGCGAUGCUCUUUUGUCGCUGCCAGGAAGCGUGGGGAGUCGGUUAUUAUUUUGGGGAGCUGUCAGCUUGGAGUCCUCCCAUCACAGGGCACUUGUCGGUGUCUGUUCUGAGUCUCCUGCUGUGGCUGGGCAUGGCGUCCUUGAUUGGCGUGAGCUCCUGCGGCUCACUCACCUGCAGCUCGUCUCCUCAUCAGUGCCAGCUCAACAGAGCCGGUCUUCUCUUCCCGGGCUGCCAGAGCAUUCAUCUCUCUACGUAGUGGUAUUGAUGGCUUCACUCUUCCAAUAACCUCCAGCAGCCUUCUUGAGAUUUAUCUUGUUUUUUCUGAGACUAAAUUGUACCGUUCCUCUACGCUCCAAGAGUCUGUCACCACGAGCUCCAGCACAUCAGUAACCAGCAAAGCCACCUCAGGGAUCCCCCUCCUCGCCACACGCUCACCUGAGCCACCACCAGAGCCCCCUGCUGAGCCACCACAUGGAUUCCCAGCGAAGUCAGCAGUCCAGCCACACGCCAGCCUCUGCUCUAACUACUUGCUUUGUUUUUACAAUAAAAUCCCCUAAAUGUUU